UGUCAUCCUAAGUGUUAAGAAAAACGGAAAAAAUGGGGUAGUCGAAUCAUUUAUCUUUCUCAUUUUCUCUCUCCGUUCUCCACAAAAGAGUCCCACUGCUCCUAUCUGCAUUUCGGCAUAUCUUUUCGCUUUCCAGUACCCAUCAAUAUAUUCUAAUUACUAUCGCAGAUAAGGAAAGAUGAACACAUAUAUCGCACUAUCAACGAAAACACCUAGUGAUCAAUUCACCAGGUGUGAGGACGGAGGAUUUAUGAUAUUAUUUAGGUGUUACAAAGUAUUGGGGUUUAACUAGAAAAUAUAAGAAUCAGAAUGGUUGGAUCGAGUUUGCUGGAAUUCCUAAAAGUUGUGGAGCUGUGGAAUUUAUUUGUAUGUCAUGUUGAGAUGUCCAUAGUGUUUGUGGAACACACAAAUGAAAACCUUUGAGGGACAUUUCCUCGGAUUAGAUACAGGAAAAGGUUUGCAUCACAAAAUUUAUAGGUACAGUUUGCUCAGUGGUGAUGACUCUAUAAGCUGAGGUGGUAACACAUGAAGUGUACUAUGCUGCAAAUGGCUCAAAUGAUGUCUCGCACAUUAAUAGUCGAGGUCACUGGAAAUGAUGGAUCUAUCUCUACCUUAAACUCCUCUGCCUUUCCAUAUUGAGGAACCUUCUGAGGUAAGGUUUAAUUUGGUUGCUCCAGAAAUCCAAGACAACAAAAGUAACACGCUGACAUGUAUUACACAUUUAAUUGUAUAUGAAUGAAUGAAAGAUGCUCAAUUAACUUAUGGAUAUAUAUGUAAGUGGGUAAAUUUUAUUGUUCA